UAGGGAAUAUUAGUAAUGGGCGAAAGCCUGAACUAGCAACGCCGCGUGUGCGAAGAAGGCCUUCGGGUUGUAAAGCACUUUUUGAGAGGAUGAGGAAGGACGGUACUCUCAGAAUAAGUCUCGGCUAACUACGUGCCAGCAGCUGCGGUAACACGUAGGAGGCAAACGUUAUCCGGAUUUACUGGGCGUAAAGCGCGUGUAGGUGGUUUGGUAAGUAGGGCGUGAAAGCUCCUGGCUCAACUGGAAGAGGCCGUUCUAAACUGCCGAACUAGAGGAUGGUAGAGGGAGGUGGAAUUCCGGGUGUAGCGGUGGAAUGCGCAGAUAUCCGGAGGAACACCAGUGGCGAAAGCGGCCUCCUGGACCAUUCCUGACACUCAGACGCGAAAGCUAGGGUAGCAAACGG
rnacentral:rRNA from 1 species